AACAGCUAGAGGCAACAACACGGAUGGAUCUUACAAGCCUGAUGUGGAACAAGAGAAGCCUGUCCAGAGACUAAGUGAAUGGAUUUAUGUGGUAUGCAAAAACAGGCAAAACCAAAUCAUAGUGUUUUGGGAGGUAUGCUUACAUAGUAAAGCUCUGAAGGAAAACAAAGAAAAGGCGACUAAAGAGAAUGACAACUUACACAAUGCAGAAUCCUGGAUUGGAUCCUAGAUCCAAUCAACGUGUAGGGGCAAAGAAACAAAGGAUCAGAGAGGGUGGGACCCUGACCAGGAUUACACAGGUGAGAGACACAGAGUCACUUGCAAACCCAUAUCUGAACCACUCUAAGACUCCCUAAAUGUUCAUGCAUUCAUUCACCCAUAUUUAUUGAGUGCAAGUCCUCUCCACACCUGUGAAUGCUGCUCUGGGAAGGAACAGCCGAGGACAGGCUCCACAGGGAAGUCUGUUUGUAAAGGCGGAGCUGCUGAAGACUAUCCACCAGGUGAUUCAGCCUCUUCCUCUGUUGGUUGAUGAUUUCCCGAUUGUUGGCUAGGGUGUUAAACAGUGUCUCUCGCUCUGGCACAAGCAGGUGCCUGUUGACAACAAUGAGAAAAGAAUUAAACAUGAAUGGUUCAAGUAAAGGAAUCUCCCAGUAAAAAAACAAACAAGACUACAAUGGUAACAGUGAAAAUGAUAAAAUGGAGAACCAGCACUGGACAAGAACCAUUAAGAAAUUAC
rnacentral:lncRNA from 10 species